GGGCCCGUAGCUCAGUUUGGCUAGAGCACCCGGCUCAUAACCGGGUGGUCAUGGGUUCAAGUCCCUUCGGGCCCACCA
rnacentral:tRNA from 3 species